UGCAGUCGAGCGAACUGAUUAGAAGCUUGCUUCUAUGACGUUAGCGGCGGACGGGUGAGUAACACGUGGGCAACCUGCCUGUAAGACUGGGAUAACUUCGGGAAACCGAAGCUAAUACCGGAUAGGAUCUUCUCCUUCAUGGGAGAUGAUUGAAAGAUGGUUUCGGCUAUCACUUACAGAUGGGCCCGCGGUGCAUUAGCUAGUUGGUGAGGUAACGGCUCACCAAGGCAACGAUGCAUAGCCGACCUGAGAGGGUGAUCGGCCACACUGGGACUGAGACACGGCCCAGACUCCUACGGGAGGCAGCAGUAGGGAAUCUUCCGCAAUGGACGAAAGUCUGACGGAGCAACGCCGCGUGAGUGAUGAAGGCUUUCGGGUCGUAAAACUCUGUUGUUAGGGAAGAACAAGUACGAGAGUAACUGCUCGUACCUUGACGGUACCUAACCAGAAAGCCACGGCUAACUACGUGCCAGCAGCCGCGGUAAUACGUAGGUGGCAAGCGUUAUCCGGAAUUAUUGGGCGUAAAGCGCGCGCAGGCGGUUUCUUAAGUCUGAUGUGAAAGCCCACGGCUCAACCGGGGAGGGUCAUUGGAAACUGGGGAACUUGAGUGCAGAAGAGAAAAGCGGAAUUCCACGUGUAGCGGUGAAAUGCGUAAAGAUGUGGAGGAACACCAGUGGCGAAGGCGGCUUUUUGGUCUGUAACUGACGCUGAGGCGCGAAAAGCGUGGGGGAGCAAACAGGAUUAGAUACCCCUGGUAGUCCACGCCCGUAAACGAUGAGUGCUAAGUGUUUAGAGGGUUUCCGCCCCUUUAGUGCUGCAACCUACGC
rnacentral:rRNA from 1 species